UACGUAGGGUGCGAGCGUUAAUCGGAAUUACUGGGCGUAAAGCGUGCGCAGGCGGUUUUGUAAGACAGGUGUGAAAUCCCCGGGCUUAACCUGGGCACUGCAUUUGUGACUGCAAGACCAGAGUGCGGCAGAGGGGGGUAGAAUUCCACGUGUAGCAGUGAAAUGCGUAGAUAUGUGGAGGAAGACCGAUGGCGAAGGCAGCACCCUGGGAUAACACUGACGCUCAUGUACGAAAGCGUGGGUAGCAAACAGG
rnacentral:rRNA from 1 species